rnacentral:lncRNA from 1 species
CAUAUCAAGACAAUGUGAUUAGUUUGUUUUAAAACGUUGUUUACAAUUAUAGACAAUGCUUUUUGUUUGUUUCAAAACUUGUUUUAUUUACAAUCAAUUCUAUUUACACAAUGUUUUGUGUUCGUUUAAAAAUUGUUUAUUUACAAUUAUCUCAAAACGGGAGAGACCCGUUUGCACCAAAAAUGCGUCCUUUUGCGCCACAACGUUUUUUUUUGCAAAUGCUACGUUUGCGCCACCUGUUUUAAAAUUACAUGGCAUCAUUUGCGCCAAAAAAUAAAACAUACGAUUGCGCCAAUUAGAGAAAAA